AAACGACUCUCGGCAACGGAUAUCCCGGCUCUCGCAUCGAUGAAGAACGUAGCGAAAUGCGAUACUUGGUGUGAAUUGCAGAAUCCCGUGAACCAUCGAGUCUUUGAACGCAAGUUGCGCCCGAAGCCUCUAGGCUGAGGCCACGUCUGCUUGGGUGUCACGC
rnacentral:rRNA from 1 species